UUAAGAUAAGAAGUAAUCUGGAAUCAGAAAGCACUACGCUAAGAAUCCCGUUCUGCUUCCAGAAGUGGAAGUGCUCACGGAUCGGGGAAAUCUGCAAGGCAUACCCCUGCAAGGUCUCGCUCCAAGGAAGAUUCCAGGCGUUCCAGAUCAAAGUCCAGGUCCCGAUCUGAAUCUAGGUCUAGAUCCAGAAGAAGCUCCCGAAGGCAUUAUACCCGGUCACGGUCUCGCUCCCGCUCCCAUAGACGAUCACGUAGCAGGUCUUACAGUCGAGAUUAUCGUAGACGGCACAGCCACAGCCAUUCUCCCAUGUCUACUCGCAGGCGUCAUGUUGGGAAUCGGGUAAGAUGAAAAACUGGUUUUGAAGCAGUGAACUGCCUAAAUUUACUUAAAGUUAGAGCUGAUUUUGACAAUAGAGCUUUAGCAGUGGGUGCGUGAGUGAAAUCUUCAGAGGCUUUUUUAGUGUUUUGAGAGAGUCUUUUAAGUUAAUCUUCCAUGACGGGGUCUGCAUUUGGGCUACCUGUCAU
rnacentral:sRNA from 1 species